UAAACUAGGAUUUAGAUACCCUAUUAUACUAUAAUUAAAAACGAUUUAGUGUUAAAGCUAGAGUAGUAAGAAUUAAUUGGUUUAAAAUUCAAAGAGUUUGGCGGUAUUUUAGUCCUGUUAGAGGAACCUGUUUUAUAAACGAUAAUCCUCGUAGAAUCUUUCUUACUCUUGUUAAGUUAGUAUACCUUCAUUAUUAGAUGAUUUUUUUUUGAUAUAAAUCAUUGUAGUUGAUAUGAAAUCAAAGAUAUUAGAUCGCGGUGCUGCUAAUGGGUAAGUAUAAAUGGGUUACAAUGACAUUGAGAUUAAACGGAUUUAUUAAUGAAAAUAAUAAUAAAGGUGGAUUUAAUUGUAAUGUAGGUUUAAUAAGCUUAUAUGAGAUAGGCUCUAAAAUGUGUACAUAUUGCCCGUCGCUUUCAUUACUUUAGAUGAGAUAAGUCGUAACAUAGUAGAUGUACUGGGAAAGUGCAUA
rnacentral:rRNA from 1 species